rnacentral:tRNA from 1 species
AAUCCUCCAAUCCACA